rnacentral:rRNA from 1 species
UGGGAUAAGCGCUGGAAACGGCGUCUAAUACUGGAUAUGAGCCCCUAUCGCAUGGUGGGGGUUGGAAAGAUUUUUUGGUCUGGGAUGGGCUCGCGGCCUAUCAGCUUGUUGGUGAGGUAAUGGCUCACCAAGGCGUCGACGGGUAGCCGGCCUGAGAGGGUGACCGGCCACACUGGGACUGAGACACGGCCCAGACUCCUACGGGAGGCAGCAGUGGGGAAUAUUGCACAAUGGGCGAAAGCCUGAUGCAGCAACGCCGCGUGAGGGAUGACGGCCUUCGGGUUGUAAACCUCUUUUAGCAGGGAAGAAGCGAAAGUGACGGUACCUGCAGAAAAAGCGCCGGCUAACUACGUGCCAGCAGCCGCGGUAAUACGUAGGGCGCAAGCGUUAUCCGGAAUUAUUGGGCGUAAAGAGCUCGUAGGCGGUUUGUCGCGUCUGCUGUGAAAUCCCGAGGCUCAACCUCGGGCCUGCAGUGGGUACGGGCAGACUAGAGUGCGGUAGGGGAGAUUGGAAUUCCUGGUGUAGCGGUGGAAUGCGCAGAUAUCAGGAGGAACACCGAUGGCGAAGGCAGAUCUCUGGGCCGUAACUGACGCUGAGGAGCGAAAGGGUGGGGAGCAAACAGGCUUAGAUACCCUGGUAGUCCACCCCGUAAACGUUGGGAACU